UACGAGGGGGGCUAGCGUUGCUCGGAAUCACUGGGCGUAAAGCGCACGUAGGCGGACUCUUAAGUCGGUGGUGAAAUCCUGGAGCUCAACUCCAGAACUGCCUUCGAUACUGAGAGUCUCGAGUCCGGGAGAGGUGAGUGGAACUGCGAGUGUAGAGGUGAAAUUCGUAGAUAUUCGGAAGAACACCAGUGGCGAAGGCGGAUCUCUGGGCCUUACCUGACGCUCAGGUGCGAAAGCUAGGGGAGCGAACAGG
rnacentral:rRNA from 1 species